AUAGAGGCGCGGCAAGUAAGAGUACCUUACGGAGAGGCAUCGGAGAAGUAAGGGAAAGGGAUUGCCGCCGAAGGGUCGGUUCCGGCGGGAACCGGCUGCUGGGCCUGAGGUGAAUAAUUUCAGGACUGUCGUUGCAAUGCGGCGUAUGCCGUGCAGCGGAGAGCUAUC
rnacentral:ncRNA from 1 species